AUUGAACGAGGGUGGAAGGGAGAACACAUGCAAGUCGAGCGGAUGAAGGGAGCUUGCUCCUGGAUUCAGCGGCGGACGGGUGAGUAAUGCCUAGGAAUCUGCCUGGUAGUGGGGGAUAACGUCCGGAAACGGGCGCUAAUACCGCAUACGUCCUGAGGGAGAAAGUGGGGGAUCUUCGGACCUCACGCUAUCAGAUGAGCCUAGGUCGGCUUAGCUAGUUGGUGGGGUAAAGGCCUACCAAGGCGACGAUCCGUAACUGGUCUGAGAGGAUGAUCAGUCACACUGGAACUGAGACACGGUCCAGACUCCUACGGGAGGCAGCAGUGGGGAAUAUUGGACAAUGGGCGAAAGCCUGAUCCAGCCAUGCCGCGUGUGUGAAGAAGGUCUUCUGAUUGUAAAGCACUUUAAGUUGGGAGGAAGGGCAGUAAGUUAAUACCUUGCUGUUUUGACGUUACCAACAGAAUAAGCACCGGCUAACUUCGUG
rnacentral:rRNA from 1 species